UCCAGGACCUGCUGCACGGCGC
rnacentral:misc_RNA from 1 species